UACGGGGGGGGCAAGCGUUGUUCGGAAUUACUGGGCGUAAAGAGCUCGUAGGCGGUUCGAUAAGUCGGGUGUGAAAACUCUGGGCUCAACUCAGAGACGCCACCCGAUACUGUUGUGACUUGAGUCCGGUAGGGGAGUAUGGAAUUCCUGGUGUAGCGGUGAAAUGCGCAGAUAUCAGGAGGAACACCAGUGGCGAAGGCGGCUAUCUGGACGGUUUCUGACACUAAGACUCGAAAGCGUGGGGAGCAAACAGG
rnacentral:rRNA from 1 species